GAGGGAAAGGCGAAAAGAACCCCGGCGAGGGGAGUGAAAAAGAACCUGAAACCGUGUACGUACAAGCAGUAGGAGCCCCAUCACUCAAGUGCCUCGCACUGAGUGAUGCAAUAACAUCACCGAAAAUAGCGCCGAAUUUGCUAACAAGGUUGGUCGAUUUUUUCAAGCCGUCGCGCAGUGUACCUAGAAGUACACGAGCAACGGAAGUUAAAAAAUCGGGCAAGAUUGAACGCAAAGGCAAGCGGGACAUUUGAGGAUGGGGUGACUGCGUACCUUUUGUAUAAUGGGUCAGCGACUUAUAUUCUGUAGCGAGGUUAACCGUAUAGGGGAGCC
rnacentral:rRNA from 1 species